GUGCUCGCCUCGGCAGCACAUAUCCUGAAAUCGGACAGGUGCACAGAGUAGCACGGCCCCUGAGCAGGAUGACGGGAAAAUUCACGAAGCAUUCCAGACUGUU
ensembl:snRNA U6 U6 spliceosomal RNA